rnacentral:rRNA from 1 species
UGCUCUCUUGGCGGCGAGUGGCGGACGGGUGAGUAAUAUAUCGGAACGUGCCCAGUAGCGGGGGAUAACUACUCGAAAGAGUGGCUAAUACCGCAUACGCCCUACGGGGGAAAGGGGGGGAUCGCAAGACCUCUCACUAUUGGAGCGGCCGAUAUCGGAUUAGCUAGUUGGUGGGGUAAAGGCUCACCAAGGCAACGAUCCGUAGCUGGUU